UUGCAUCAUGAUUUACAUUUGAGUGAGUGGCGAACUGGUGAGUAACACGUGGGAAACCUGCCCAGAAGCGGGGGAUAACACCUGGAAACAGAUGCUAAUACCGCAUAACAACUUGGACCGCAUGGUCCGAGCUUGAAAGAUGGCUUCGGCUAUCACUUUUGGAUGGUCCCGCGGCGUAUUAGCUAGAUGGUGGGGUAACGGCUCACCAUGGCAAUGAUACGUAGCCGACCUGAGAGGGUAAUCGGCCACAUUGGGACUGAGACACGGCCCAAACUCCUACGGGAGGCAGCAGUAGGGAAUCUUCCACAAUGGACGAAAGUCUGAUGGAGCAACGCCGCGUGAGUGAAGAAGGGUUUCGGCUCGUAAAACUCUGUUGUUAAAGAAGAACAUAUCUGAGAGUAACUGUUCAGGUAUUGACGGUAUUUAACCAGAAAGCCACGGCUAACUACGUGCCAGCAGCCGCGGUAAUACGUAGGUGGCAAGCGUUGUCCGGAUUUAUUGGGCGUAAAGCGAGCGCAGGCGGUUUUUUAAGUCUGAUGUGAAAGCCUUCGGCUCAACCGAAGAAGUGCAUCGGAAACUGGGAAACUUGAGUGCAGAAGAGGACAGUGGAACUCCAUGUGUAGCGGUGAAAUGCGUAGAUAUAUGGAAGAACACCAGUGGCGAAGGCGGCUGUCUGGUCUGUAACUGACGCUGAGGCUCGAAAGUAUGGGUAGCAAACAGGAUUAGAUACCCUGGUAGUCCAUACCGUAAACGAUGAAUGCUAAGUGUUGGAGGGUUUCCGCCCUUCAGUGCUGCAGCUAACGCAUUAAGCAUUCCGCCUGGGGAGUACGGCCGCAAGGCUGAAACUCAAAGGAAUUGACGGGGGCCCGCACAAGCGGUGGAGCAUGUGGUUUAAUUCGAAGCUACGCGAAGAACCUUACCAGGUCUUGACAUACUAUGCAAAUCUAAGAGAUUAGACGUUCCCUUCGGGGACAUGGAUACAGGUGGUGCAUGGUUGUCGUCAGCUCGUGUCGUGAGAUGUUGGGUUAAGUCCCGCAACGAGCGCAACCCUUAUUAUCAGUUGCCAGCAUUAAGUUGGGCACUCUGGUGAGACUGCCGGUGACAAACCGGAGGAAGGUGGGGAUGACGUCAAAUCAUCAUGCCCCUUAUGACCUGGGCUACACACGUGCUACAAUGGAUGGUACAACGAGUUGCGAACUCGCGAGAGUAAGCUAAUCUCUUAAAGCCAUUCUCAGUUCGGAUUGUAGGCUGCAACUCGCCUACAUGAAGUCGGAAUCGCUAGUAAUCGCGGAUCAGCAUGCCGCGGUGAAUACGUUCCCGGGCCUUGUACACACCGCCCGUCACACCAUGAGA
rnacentral:rRNA from 1 species